CAGCAGCCGCGGUAAUACGAAGGGGGCUAGCGUUGUUCGGAUUUACUGGGCGUAAAGGGUGCGUAGGCGGACUGAUAAGUCAGGGGUGAAAUCCCAAGGCUCAACCUUGGAACUGCCUUUGAUACUGUUAGUCUUGAGUUCGAGGGAGGUGAGUGGAACUGCGAGUGUAGAGGUGAAAUUCGUAGAUAUUCGCAAGAACACCAGUGGCGAAGGCGGCUCACUGGCUCAAAACUGACGCUGAGGCACGAAAGCGUGGGGAGCAAACAGGAUUAGAUACCCCAGUAGUCCCUGUCUCUUAUAA
rnacentral:rRNA from 1 species